rnacentral:rRNA from 2 species
CCUGGUUUUGGAUCUGCAUGUCUAUAUUAAUACAACUAUACGGUAGAAACUGCGAAUGGCUCAUUAAAUCAGUUAUCGUUUAUUUUAUAGUACUUUACUACAUGGAUAACCGUGGUAAUUCUAGAGCUAAUACAUGCUAAAAACCCCGACUUCGGGAGGGGUGUAUUUAUUAGAUAAAAAACCAAUGCCCUUCGGGGCUCUGUGGUGAAUCAUAAUAACUUAACGAAUCGCAUGGCCUUGCGCCGGCGAUGGUUCAUUCAAAUUUCUGCCCUAUCAACUUUCGAUGGUAGGAUAGUGGCCUACCAUGGUAUCAACGGGUAACGGGGAAUUAGGGUUCUAUUCCGGAGAGGGAGCCUGAGAAACGGCUACCACAUCCAAGGAAGGCAGCAGGCGCGCAAAUUACCCAAUCCCGACACGGGGAGGUAGUGACAAUAAAUACUGAUACAGGGCUCUUUUGGGUCUUGUAAUUGGAAUGAGUACAAUUUAAAUACCUUAACGAGGAACAAUUGGAGGGCAAGUCUGGUGCCAGCAGCCGCGGUAAUUCCAGCUCCAAUAGCGUAUAUUAAAGUUGUUGCAGUUAAAAAGCUCGUAGUUGAACCUUGGGCCUGGCUGGCCGGUCCGCCUCACCGCGUGUACUGGUCCGGCCGGGCCUUUCCUUCUGGGGAACCGCAUGCCCUUCACUGGGCGUGUGUGGGAACCAGGACUUUUACUUUGAAAAAAUUAGAGUGUUCAAAGCAGGCCUUUGCUCGAAUACAUUAGCAUGGAAUAAUAGAAUAGGACGUGUGGUUCUAUUUUGUUGGUUUCUAGGACCGCCGUAAUGAUUAAUAGGGAUAGUCGGGGGCAUCUGUAUUCAUUUGUCAGAGGUGAAUUUCUUGGAUUAUUGAAGACAAACUACUGCGAAAGCAUUUGCCAAGGAUGUUUUCAUUAAUCAGUGAACGAAGUUAGGGGAUCGAAGACGAUCAGAUACCGUCGUAGUCUUAACCAUAAACUAUGCCGACUAGGGAUCGGGGGGUGUUAUCAUUUGACCUCCUCGGCCCUUACAAAAAUCAAAGCUUUGGGUUCUGGGGGGAGAUGGUC